GACGAACGCUGGCGGCGUGCUUAACACAUGCAAGUCGAACGGAAAGGCCCUGCUUUUGUGGGGCGCUCGAGUGGCGAACGGGUGUGUAACACGUGAGUAACACGCCCCUGACAUUGGGAUAACUUCAGGAAACAGCGGAUAUUAUCGGAGAGGAGAUACUGCUGCACGGUGGGGGUUGGAAAGAUUCGGCGGUUGGGGAUGGUCUGGCGGGUUAUCAGCUUGUUGGUGGGGUAGUGGAUUACCAAGCCUUUGACGGGUAGCGGGCCUGAGAGGGUGACCGGCGGCAUUGGGACUGAGAGACGGCACAGACUGCGACGGGAGGGAACAGGGCGAAAUAUUGCACAAUGGACGGAGGGCUGAUGCAGAAGCGCUGCGUGCGGGAAAACGGCCUUAUGGUUGUAGACCGAUUGCGCCUGUAACGAAGCGUGUGUGGCGGUAAUGGGUACAGAAGGCCCGGCUAACUUCGUG
rnacentral:rRNA from 1 species